rnacentral:tRNA from 1 species
GACCGCGUAUAGCUCAGUUGGCAGAGCAUUGGGCUAAUAUUCCAAAGGUCGUAGGUUCGAUUCCCACCGUGGCCA